GCAUAUCAAUAAGCGGAGGAAAAGAAACCAACAGGGAUUGCCUCAGUAACGGCGAGUGAAGCGGCAACAGCUCAAAUUUGAAAUCUGGCGGCCUCUGGGCCGUCCGAGUUGUAAUUUGAAGAGGAUGCUUUUGGCGAGGCGCCUUCCGAGUGCCCUGGAACGGGACGCCACAGAGGGUGAGAGCCCCGUAUGGUUGGACGCCGAGCCUCUGUAAAGCUCCUUCGACGAGUCGAGUAGUUUGGGAAUGCUGCUCAAAAUGGGAGGUAAACCCCUUCUAAAGCUAAAUACUGGCCAGAGACCGAUAGCGCACAAGUAGAGUGAUCGAAAGAUGAAAAGCACUUUGAAAAGAGAGUUAAAUAGCACGUGAAAUUGUUGAAAGGGAAGCGCUUGCGACCAGACUUGUGCCCGUCGAAUCAGCCGCCGCUCGCCGGCGGCGCACUUCGGCGGGCUCAGGCCAGCAUCAGUUCGCUGCAGGGGGAGAAAGGCGGCGGGAAUGUGGCUCUUCGGAGUGUUAUAGCCCGCCGCGCAAUACCCCUCGGCGGACUGAGGACCGCGCAUCUGCAAGGAUGCUGGCGUAAUGGUCGUCAGCGACCCGUCUUGAAACACGGACC
rnacentral:rRNA from 1 species